AAUACAAAGCUUUACUUCUGGUUGUCAACAAAGUUCACCCAUGUUGGAUAAAUAUUCUUCCUCUUAUCGUCUGAUGUUUAAACAGUACACAUAAAGGGGCAUGGCGGCUACUGUUCGACUGUUGUUACUGCUAAUAGGAGUCUCUCAUGGAGUGGCAACUUCCUGUGAUGGCACACAGGACGGAGCUCAUUGUUCUGGAACCUGGGGAGGAACUGUGUUUGUUCAGCUGUUAAAUCGUGCCUCAGGAACAUUUAGAUUCCAGUGGACAAAGGCAACAACAAUAAUACUAAUAUGGAGAAACAAUAAAAUUGUGACCAACACUAUAACGAGCAGAUCUGCAUUCAGUGCCGACAAUGGAACAUUUAGGAUCAACAGCCUGAAGAACAGUGACAGUGGUGAAUACACGCUUCAGCUCUUUGAUUCAGAGGGGAAAGCAACAGAAAGACGGACUCUGCAGUUGUCCAUUAAAGGCCAAUCUCCACAAAGAGUUGGAGCAAUUUCCGCUCUGAUUUUCUUUUUGAUCCAUUUAUUUGUCUGGAUAAUUGUCAUCUGUGUUCAGAGGAAAAAGCAAAACUGCAAAGAACAACCCGACGCUGAUGUGACUUAUGCUGACGUCAAAACGGUGCAACAGCAAGAAAGGAAGUCAGUGAAGCAACACAUUGAAGAAGAGACUCCAGCACUGAGAGCAGAUACAAGGAGAAGAUGAUGAGUGGACUACCAAUGAUGGUUCACUCUUCUUUAUUCAUUGUAACUUUUAAGAAAAUGAAAUGGUAGCUAUAAAAGCAAAACAAGUAGGUAAUUUUUGUUUUUAUUUUCAUUGUAAUACUUGUCCAUGACAAUCCAUGCUGGCAGUAAUAAAGGAUCUAAUUCCAAGUAGAUAAGAGGCACCCACCUAACAAUCAAACGGCUGUAAAAUUUCUAAAUUCUAGGGAGGCGUGAGAGCACUGCAGUACAUAAAGUGGAUAAAAGCAGUUCCCAUAUGGUCAGUAUUGAGCAGAUGGUGCCAUUUUUCAAUGGACUGCACAAGCAAAAGAGAAAAAAGAAGUUCAAAAAAGAAGUUCAAGGUUAAACUGACUGAUAACUUAUACUUUUGUGACCUGUAUGUGCACCUCUUCAUUCUGUUGCCAUCCUAGGCAACCCAGGGUGGCAUCAGACCCCUAACCCUGGGCAUAUGAUAAACCACCAGUGGUUAAUUUAACAAAGUUGAAUAUUUGAACAAAAUCCAUAAUAGUGAUUGUAAAGUAAAUGAUAAAAACAAGUGAGGUAAUGCAAAAAGGAAGCUGUAAGAGAAGGAGUAACAUACCAAGAAGAACUCACAUCAGAAGUAGGAGGAUUACACACAAAGGUGGAUGAUUAAGAUGGGUGGAUUACUGAUGAAUCCCAGUGUGAGGGAGGAUGAAGGAUUAAAUUCAAAAUUAAAACUUUUAUCAUGAAUAAUAGGAGUCAAUGAAAAAACUACAUGGCUGAACUUGAACAUAAAGCUCAAACUAAGUCCUUUAGAUCAUGGCAGCACACGUGAAAGACAGAACGUGCAGAAAGAUGAUGUAUCAGGUGAUAUGUUAGUUAUGGGUUAUUUGAUUAAUCAUGUUUCUUACUGAGGUAAUAAGAUCUGUGUUUAAAAUGAGGACUAGUUAACAAGCGAUUCAGUUGAAUAAAAGCAAGAACUUUGAAGAUAAGAGGCUGAUUGAUAAAAACUCUAAAGGCCAUAGAUUAACUAAAAAAAGAGAGCUUUAAAUUAAGAAUAUUGAUUGUAUAAUUGUAAAGUAUAAUUGUACUCUUCCUUACUUGAGAGGAUGAUGGAUAAUAAAAAUAUUGUUUAGCUUUUGAAAUCUUUUCAGACAACUGUGGGUAAACUAAGAAUUUUUCAUGACGGUAGCAGUUGUACUUGAAAUUAUGUUACAGCCAAAAUCUGGACUGUAUGUUUCAUUUUGGACCUUUGAACUAGAACAUUAAAUACCACAAGACCAUGACCAGCAUGUAAAAAGCUGAUCUCCCAGGUGUGAGUGAGCUCAGGAUGCAAAGGUAAAGAAUAAACUUGUAUACCUUGACUUAGACAGCGUA